rnacentral:tRNA from 1 species
GUUUCCGCGGCUCCUUUUUACUUUUUUUCAAAAAAAGGGAAGGUUUCAAAACCUCUGAAAAA